rnacentral:tRNA from 1 species
AGGGAUGUAGCGCAGUUUGGUAGCGCCUUUUGUUUUGGGUAAAAAAUGUCACGGGUUCAAAUCCUGUCAUCCCUA